rnacentral:rRNA from 1 species
UUCGAUGCAACGCGAAAACCUUAACCUACCCUUGACAUGUCAAGAAUUCUGCAGAGAUGUGGAAGUGCUCGAAAGAGAACUUGAACACAGGUGCUGCAUGGCCGUCGUCAGCUCGUGUCGUGAGAUGUUGGGUUAAGUCCCGCAACGAGCGCAACCCUUGUCAUUAGUUGCUACGCAAGAGCACUCUAAUGAGACUGCCGGUGACAAACCGGAGGAAGGUGGGGAUGACGUCAGGUCCUCAUGGCCCUUAUGGGUAGGGCUACACACGUCAUACAAUGGCCGGUACAGAGGGCUGCCAACCCGCGAGGGGGAGCCAAUCCCAGAAAACCGGUCGUAGUCCGGAUCGUAGUCUGCAACUCGACUGCGUGAAGUCGGAAUCGCUAGUAAUCGCGGAUCAGCUUGCCGCGGUGAAUACGUUCCCGGGUCUU